UACGUAGGGGGCUAGCGUUGUCCGGAAUCAUUGGGCGUAAAGCGCGUGUAGGCGGUUCGGUAAGUCCGCUGUGAAAGUCGGGGGCUCAACCCUCGAAUGCCGGUGGAUACUGUCGGACUAGAGUACGGAAGAGGCGAGUGGAAUUCCUGGUGUAGCGGUGAAAUGCGCGGAUAUCAGGAGGAACACCAAUUGCGAAGGCAGCUCGCUGGGACGUUACUGACGCUGAGACGCGAAAGCGUGGGGAGCAAACAGG
rnacentral:rRNA from 1 species